UGGGGAAUCUUGCACAAUGGGAGCAACCCUGAUGCAGCGACGCCGCGUGAGCGAUGAAGCCCUUCGGGGCGUAAAGCUCUUUCGACCGGAACGAUAAUGACGGUACCGGGAGAAGAAGCUGCGGCUAACUACGUGCCAGCAGCCGCGGUAAUACGUAGGCAGCAAGCGUUGUUCGGAGUUACUGGGCGUAAAGAGUGCGUAGGCGGUUUUCUAAGUUCGGUGUGAAAUCUCCCGGCUUAACUGGGAGGGUGCGCCGAAGACUGGGAAGCUGGAAUGUGGGAAAGGCAGGCGGAAUUCCUGGUGUAGCGGUGAAAUGCGUAGAUAUCAGGAGGAACACCGGCGGUGUAGACGGCUUGCUAGACCAUAACUGACGCUGAGGCACGAAAGCGUGGGUAGCAAACA
rnacentral:rRNA from 1 species